ACUGCUUCUCGGUCUGUUGGCUAAGAUCGAGUACAGUAUCUGUUGUUAUCAGUUAUAUGUUAUCGGUAUCUGAUACAUCCUCUAUUGGAGGACAAUAUAUUAAAUAUAUUUUUGGAGCAGGGAGAUGGAAUAGGAGCUUGCUCCUUCCACUCCAUCCAUCGAGCUGGUAUCGUAGUACCUCCAGGAAUGAUGCACCCCCU
rnacentral:snRNA from 1 species